GAUGAACGCUGGCGGCGUGCCUAAUACAUGCAAGUAGAACGCUGAAGGAAGGAGCUUGCUCUUUCCGGAUGAGUUGCGAACGGGUGAGUAACGCGUAGGUAACCUGCCUGGUAGCGGGGGAUAACUAUUGGAAACGAUAGCUAAUACCGCAUAACAGUAGAUGUUGCAUGAUAUCUACUUAAAAGGUGCAAUUGUACCACUACCAGAUGGACCUGCGUUGUAUUAGCUAGUUGGUGAGGUAACGGCUCACCAAGGCGACGAUACAUAGCCGACCUGAGAGGGUGAUCGGCCACACUGGGACUGAGACACGGCCCAGACUCCUACGGGAGGCAGCAGUAGGGAAUCUUCGGCAAUAGACGGAAGUCUGACCGAGCAACGCCGCGUGAGUGAAGAAGGUUUUCGGAUCGUAAAGCUCUGUUGUAAGAGAAGAACGAGUGUGAGAGUGGAAAGUUCACACUGUGACGGUAUCUUACCAGAAAGGGACGGCUAACUACGUG
rnacentral:rRNA from 1 species